GACGAACGCUGGCGGCGUGCCUAAUACAUGCAAGUCGAGCGGAUCUUAUCCUUCGGGGUAAGGUUAGCGGCGGACGGGUGAGUAACACGUAGGCAACCUGCCUGUAAGACCGGGAUAACUACCGGAAACGGUAGCUAAGACCGGAUACGCGGUUUUCUCGCAUGAGAGAAUCGGGAAACAUGGUUUCGGCCAUGGCUUACAGAUGGGCCUGCGGCGCAUUAGCUAGUUGGUGGGGUAACGGCCUACCAAGGCGACGAUGCGUAGCCGACCUGGGAGGGUGAUCGGCCACACUGGGACUGAGACACGGCCCAGACUCCUACGGGAGGCAGCAGUAGGGAAUCUUCGGCAAUGGACGAAAGUCUGACCGAGCAACGCCGCGUGAGUGAAGAAGGUUUUCGGAUCGUAAAGCUCUGUUGCCAGGGAAGAACGCUUGGGAUAGGAAAUGAUCCUGAGGUGACGGUACUGAGAAGAAAGCCCCGGCUAACUACGUGCCAGCCGCCGCGGUAAGAC
rnacentral:rRNA from 1 species